UGGAGGUUGUGCCCUUGAGGCGUGGCUUCCGGAGCUAACGCGUUAAAUCGACCGCCUGGGGAGUACGGCCGCAAGGUUAAAACUCAAAUGAAUUGACGGGGGCCCGCACAAGCGGUGGAGCAUGUGGUUUAAUUCGAUGCAACGCGAAGAACCUUACCUACUCUUGACAUCCAGAGAACUUUCCAGAGAUGGAUGGGUGCCUUCGGGAACUCUGAGACAGGUGCUGCAUGGCUGUCGUCAGCUCGUGUUGUGAAAUGUUGGGUUAAGUCCCGCAACGAGCGCAACCCUUAUCCUUUGUUGCCAGCGGUUCGGCCGGGAACUCAAAGGAGACUGCCAGUGAUAAACUGGAGGAAGGUGGGGAUGACGUCAAGUCAUCAUGGCCCUUACGAGUAGGGCUACACACGUGCUACAAUGGCGUAUACAAAGAGAAGCGAACUUGCGAGAGUAAGCGGACCUCAUAAAGUACGUCGUAGUCCGGAUUGGAGUCUGCAACUCGACUCCAUGAAGUCGGAAUCGCUAGUAAUCGUAGAUCAGAAUGCUACGGUGAAUACGUUCCCGGGCCUUGUACACACCGCCCGUCACACCAUGGGAGUGGGUUGCAAAAGAAGUAGGUAGCUUAACCUUCGGGAGGGCGCUUACCACUUUGUGAUUCAUGACUGGGGUGAAG
rnacentral:rRNA from 1 species